UACGUAGGGGGCGAGCGUUGUCCGGAAUGAUUGGGCGUAAAGGGCGCGUAGGCGGUUGUUUAAGUCUGGAGUGAAAGUCCUGUUUUUAAGAUGGGAAUUGCUUUGGAUACUGGAUGACUUGAGUGCAGGAGAGGUAAGUGGAAUUCCCAGUGUAGCGGUAAAAUGCGUAGAGAUUGGGAGGAACACCAGUGGCGAAGGCGACUUACUGGACUGUAACUGACGCUGAGGCGCGAAAGUGUGGGGAGCAAAC
rnacentral:rRNA from 1 species